rnacentral:rRNA from 1 species
AACUUAGCCGGUCUCGCGAAUGCCGUUAGGACUUAAGUUGAUCAUGGCUCAGAGCGAACGCUGUAGGUAGGCCUAACACAUGCAAGUCGAACGGCAGCACAGAGGAGCUUGCUCCUUGGGUGGCGAGUGGCGGACGGGUGAGGAAUACAUCGGAAUCUACAUCUGUCGUGGGGGAUAACGUAGGAAACUUACGCUAAUACCGCAUACGACCUACGGGUGAAAGCAGUGGGAUCUUCGGACCUUGACGCGAUUAGAAUGAGCCGAUGUCGGAUUAGCUAGUUUGGCGGGGUAAAGGNCCACACAAGGCGACGAUCCGUAGCUGGUCUGAANAGGAUGAUCAGCCACACUGGAACUAGANACACGGUCCAGACUCCUACCGGGAGAGCAAGACAAGUGUGGUGAAUAUUGGACAAAUGAGGCAGCAAAGCCCUAGAAUACCAAGCACAAUUACACAGAACGGUGAGGGUGAAAAGAAAGGGCACCUUACANNCNAGAUUAGGUUAAAAA